rnacentral:rRNA from 1 species
CCUACGGGCGGCAGCAGUGAGGAAUAUUGGUCAAUGGGCUUACGCCUGAACCAGCCAAGUCGCGUGAGGGAAGACUGCCCUAUGGGUUGUAAACCUCUUUUGUCAGGGAGCAACGCCGGCUACGUGUAGCCGGACUGAGAGUACCUGAAGAAAAAGCAUCGGCUAACUCCGUGCCAGCAGCCGCGGUAAUACGGAGGAUGCGAGCGUUAUCCGGCUUGAUUGGGUUUAAAGGGUGCGUAGGCGGAAUGCCAAGCCAGCGGUAAAAUCGCGGGGCUCAACCUCGCUCCGCCGUUGAAACUGGCGUUCUUGAGUGGGCGAGAGGUAUGCGGAAUGCGUGGUGUAGCGGUGAAAUGCAUAGAUAUCACGCAGAACUCCGAUUGCGAAGGCAGCAUACCGGCGCCCAACUGACGCUGAAGCACGAAAGCGUGGGUAUCGAACAGGAUUAGAUACCCUAGUAGUC